GGGGCUCUUUCUGGCGGACAGACGAGAACCACUUCCAGCAGUAGCCCGGGCAGUUUGAGGGUCACAGUGGUGGCAAACCCCGCAGGGAACCAACCCUCUGGGGACCAUCACUCCUCUUGCAUCUCCGAUCCAGAGGAGUAACCCACGGAACGCGCUGGGCCCUCUUCAAAGAGCGUACCAGUGGUAUCCAGUGGGCCUCCCCCUGACCAGAUGUCGAUCUCAGCAUCGGAGGGAGAGCUGUCAGAUGAAGAUUCAGCUGUGCUGCUGCCCUCUGGGACGGUGGCGGAGCCUGAAUUGGAUCCGGAGAUGACAGCUAUGCUUUCCCGGACCGCCGAGAGGGUAGGGCUCGAGUGGAAAUCUCCACCGCGUCCCGAGCCCUCGAGGCAGGAUGAUUGGUUUCUCAAGGUGGCGCGCGCUGGUUUUCAGCGCCCCACCCUGGUGCCUUUCUUCCCGGAAGUGCAUGACGAGCUCACCAGGUCGUGGAUGGCACCUUUUACUGCCAGAAACUGGCUGGUGGGCUCCUCCUCCCUCACCACCCUCGAUGGCAGUGCAGCGAAGGGGUAUUCGGUGAUUCCCCCAGUGGAGCGGGCGGUAGCGAUGCAAGUGUGUCCUAAGUCUGCCUCCUGCUGGCGGGGAGACCCGGUGCUUCCUUCCCGGGCCUAUAGGCAUUCGUCUGGUCUAACCGGCGGUGCCUAUAUGGCUUGCGGGGAAGCUGCUUCUGCCUUACGCGCUGUGGCGUUACUGCAGGUGCACCAGGCCAAAGCACUGAAGGACCUGCACGAGGGUGGUUACGAUCAAGAAGUUCUGAAAACUCGGAACCGCCACUGGCCUCGCGCUCCGAGCGACGAAGGUCACCGUGCAAUCUCUGGGUCGUGCGAUGUCCACACUUGUGGUCCAGGAGCACCAUCUCUGGCUGAGUCUGGUCUGGUCGACAUGAGGGAUGCCGACAAAGUUCCGUUCUCUGACCAGAAGUAACAAACAAGCUUGCUUCUCUGCUUUNNNNNNNNNNNNNNNNNNNNNNNNNNNNNN
rnacentral:lncRNA from 1 species